rnacentral:rRNA from 1 species
UACAGAGGUCCCGAGCGUUGUUCGGAUUCACUGGGCGUAAAGGGUGCGUAGGCGGUCGGGUAAGUCUGAUGUGAAAUCUCACAGCUUAACUGUGAAACUGCAUUGGAUACUAUUCGGCUUGAGGUCUGGAGGGGGGACUGGAAUACUUGGUGUAGCAGUGAAAUGCGUAGAUAUCGUCUGGAACGCCGAAGGUGAAAACAGCUCGCUGGGGCCGCGCUGACGCUGAGACACGAAAGCCAGGGGAGCGAACGGG